ensembl:lncRNA
GUUGUGCAGACACACUAAUGCAAGCCCUGACAUAAAGGAAGGUCACGAAAACAAACGCUGCUGACUUAGUCCCUGGUUUUUCAUUUUAGCCCGUUCACGUUUGUCAGUGUGCCAACAUCACAACAUUGGAGGACUUAUUUAAAACCCUGCAUUGACCUUGAAACAGUGCUUCACAUUGGCUACUGAGAAAAUAUUGUAAAGAUAAAUACUGUAACUACUUUGGUAAUAUUCUGGGCAACAAGGAUCAGAUGUAAGCCCGGUUGGAAUGCGGCAGUGGCCUCUUGCAAGCGGCAGCGUCCAGGGAGCCUAAAAAGGGAAGGACUUUCAGUCUGGGUUCCUGGCAGUGGUAGGAAGGAGUUGCAGGCAGGC